UUUUUUUUUUUUUUUUGUGGAUAUAAAUUGGCAAAAAUCUUUGUUCUUUUAUGGUGUGUCUUUGUUUGGGUUCUUUGGAAAGCAGAGCCUAUGACGAAGACUUGGGCGUACGUGGUUUGUUCAGGAACUGAUCUCCUGAAACAGAAGUGAGGGAGGGGCUGAGCAAGAAAAGGAGGAACCAAAGCACAGUGUUCCUGAGGUCACUGCCGGCGAACAACCCUGACUUCACCGGCCCUCCUGCGACUGCCCCAUUAUUCACCCACUGCCUCCAGUCCCCCGCCCCUGAGGUCGCCUCCAGACACCUGGGCUGUGCUGGCAUCAGAGGAGGGCAGACGCUGAAGACACACAGCAGGUGCCAGAGUGUAGCUCUGCAGAUCCUCUGUGAUUUAAGGUGCGCCGAGGGCAUCAGUCAGCACAGCAGCACAUACAUCCCUCAGAUGUACUCGGGCACCACAGAAAGUCCCAUCUGUCAUGAGUCUUCCAGAGGAAGCCUGGCCACAGCCUCUAUGCAAGCCUCGAUACAACAAAAAUAGUCCACACUCCUGCAGCUGCUCCUGGGGCUCUGAUACUCAUUUUCCUUCCCUGCCUAUUCUAGAUUUCUCUCGCCCUUAGCCAGCAUUUCAUGGGGUUACUCAUGAAACCUCUCUUGCCCUUGGUAGGCUGAGGCCGAUGAAAAUGCUUUUCGCUGUUAUCGCUUGGCAUGGAAGCAACCAGAUAGAUCCAGGUAAAUCCUCAAAGUCCCAUGCAAGCUCUUGAUGGUCCCUAAGCAGCAGAGACCCGAUCUCCUCACAAUCAUCAGAAAUCAAUUAUCGGGACGCCUGAGUGGCCCAGCGGUCGGACGUCUACCUUCAGCUCAGGGCGUGACCCCAGGGUCCUGGGAUCGAGUCCCGUGUCGGGCUCCCUGCAUGGAGCCUGCUUCUCCCUCUGCCUGUGUCUCUGCCCCACCCCCGUGUCUCUCAUGAAUAAAUAAAUAUUUUUUAAAAAAAGAAAUCAAUUAUCCCCUCCUUUUUCUGCUGGUUCACAAGCAUGAGUUCAGUGACCUCAUGGAACGUUCACACUGAGGCUGGUAUGGGUGCCCUUCCCUCCAACCAGUGGAGGUCCCAUCAUGGAAUAUCCCCUACCCGUGUAGCAGAGUUUAAUGCUAGAGACAGAAUGCACAUACUCUACGAACGGAUCGCUGAGAGCGACGGUGAGAGAUUUCCCCAAUCCUGGGCUCUUAGGCCUGUGUCUGUUCCUGGAUCCAUAUGUUGUAUCCGCUGGGGCCCAGCACCUCACACUGGGCUUUAAAUCAAGGUAUAUAUCCCACUCUUCAGGCUACUGUCCCAGAGCUGGGACCUUUGCUAAGUCUCUAAGAGAACAUUCCAUCUUUCUAACAGAUGGGCUGCUUGAGGCUAAUUCAGGAUAUUAGAGAAGCAGUGGCUCCCAUGGCAAUUCAUAAUGUUGUCAUCUUUCUUUCAUUGUAAAAUGAGUUCUUUGAUCCAAAGUAAUAUUAUGCAUGAUACCAUGUGGGUAAAUCCAACAUUCUUGAAGGUUCUGGAUGGCGAUACUUCCCUAAGACAUUGUGGAUAUGUGGAUAUGGGAAAGCAAACCCACAUCCAGAGCAGGUGUCACUUCCAUUAAGGAUGAAUCAAUGCCCUCUUCUGGAUGGAAAGGAUCUGCUGAAACCAACUUGUCACUGAAUCAUCCAGGGAUGGUGCCACACCAGGGGUCGGAAAUUCAGCCACAGUAAUAAUUACACAAGUCUUGAUAAGAGAGAGCCCACGCUAGUAGACACAACCAGCACUGCUGCCACCAUGGCAGUUCCAUUCAUGGGCCCACCAUCCAAGCACAAGGGUAGCCAAGGACAGAAGCUGACAAAGCAACAAGUCAUUUUGUCAUUCGGUGACCCCUCUGCAGUGGACAUUAACAUGAGGCACACAGAUGCACACAUUUGUGAGGACUUCCACAUCAUCUUUCCCAGACUUGUCUCCAGCAUUCCCUUCUUGCUCUUCCCACGUCCCUGGGCAGCCAAAGAGACAUCUGUCACCACUCAGAAAUUCACGUGCAUUCUUUCCUUAGACCACA
rnacentral:lncRNA from 1 species